rnacentral:pre_miRNA from 1 species
AAUAAAUGAAUUUCUGAGUUUUUCUAUAGAAUUUUUGACUCUUCACCUUAUUUGAAUUUUUUUACGAUUAAUGUUUUUAUUAUUAUCACAUGAUAAAACAUAACUCGUAUUUUACGUGUGACUAUUUUUUUCAUAAAAUUUUCAAAUAAGACGGAUGGUCAAACGCUAAACCUAGAAAACUCAGAAAUGCACUUUUU